UCGCUGCCGCCUUGCAGUUUGAUCUCAGACUGCUGUGCUAGCAAUCAGCGAGACUCCGUGGGCGUAGGACCCUCCGAGCCAGGUGCGGGAUAUAAUCUCGUCGUGCGCCAUUUUUUAAGCCCGUCGGAAAUGCGCAGUAUUCGGGUGGGAGUGACCCGAUUUUCCAGGUGCCGUCCGUCACCCCUUUCUUUGAUUAGGAAAGGGAACUCCCUGACCCCUAGCACUUCCCGAGUGAGGCAAUGCCUCGCCCUGCUUCGGCUCGCGCACGGUGCGCACCCACUGACCUGCGCCCACUGUCUGGCGCUCCCUAGUGAGAUGAACCCGGUACCUCAGAUGGAAAUGCAGAAAUCACCCGUCUUCUGCGUCGCUCAGGCUGAUUGCUGCAGACCGGAGCUGUUCCUAUUCGGCCAUCUUGCCUCCUCCCCCGGAAUUUUCUUAAUUGACCCUGGGCCAGGGAAAGAAAUGAAUGAAGAUGCCACCUUAUGCCCAGAACACAUCUCUCAUUCAAUGAUAAAGGAUUUGUGGUUGGGUCAACUUUUGUGAUGCUCAACUCUUUCCUUCGUAAGGACGGGCUCUUUCUCAGGAGGCUUUUGUACUCCCAAUUAACGCACUGCUAAUCUGAUGAAGCUCUAUUUUGUAGCUAUGCCAUCUGGAUCACAUAGCCUCCAAGGCCAGCAGAGCAGAGGAAGACAAAGAGCAGAGCAAGAUAGAGCAAUGCUUUCAGUAACCUGGAGAGGUACACAUGGCUGGUAUAACAAUUAUCUUCAUUUAAUGAUGUGGAAACACCUACCACAAGUCCUGGCACAUUGAGGGUCUUGAAUAAAUUCUGUCAGAUGAACGGACAAGCGCACAAAAGGUUGAAAGAGUG
rnacentral:lncRNA from 1 species